AUUGAACGCUGGCGGCAGGCCUAACACAUGCAAGUCGGACGGUAGCACAGAGGAGCUUGCUCCUCGGGUGACGAGUGGCGGACGGGUGAGUAAUGUCUGGGGAUCUGCCCGAUAGAGGGGGAUAACCACUGGAAACGGUGGCUAAUACCGCAUAACGUCGCAAGACCAAAGAGGGGGACCUUCGGGCCUCUCACUAUCGGAUGAACCCGGAUGGGAUUAGCUAGUAGGCGGGGUAAUGGCCCACCUAGGCGACGAUCCCUAGCUGGUCUGAGAGGAUGACCAGCCACACUGGAACUGAGACACGGUCCAGACUCCUACAGGAGGCAGGAGUGGGGAAUAUUGCACAAUGGGCGCAAGCCUGAUGCAGCCAUGCCGCGUGUAUGAAGAAGGCCUUCGGGUUGUAAAGUACUUUCAGCGGGGAGGAAGGCGAUGUGGUUAAUAACCUUGUCGAUUGACGUUACCCGCAGAAGAAGCACCGGCUAACUCCGUGCCAGCCGCCGCAGUAA
rnacentral:rRNA from 1 species